ACACACUGGCAAGCAAACACACGCACACACACACGCACGGUGUCUUGCACUGGAGGUUAAACCUCGUUCGCAGGGCCGCCUCUUAGCACCCACGGCAUCUCUCGCCCACCUCCCGUCCCUCAGCGCCACCGCAGCCCUCUUUUCCGCGGAGAUGGCUGAGACAGCGGGCGAAGAAGAUGUGCGGCGCAUGAGCCGCGAGGAGCGCAUUGCAAGCUACCGUGAGCUUGUGGAGGGCCUCGACGACAUUCUUGCCUCGCACGACGCCGACGGCGACAACGACGGUGAGGAUGCGGAGCAGAUGGCAGCGUUGGUGGAGGAAGUAGAGGUGCAGCUGCGCACCCUCGCCCAGCUGCUGAAUGAGGAGGAGACGAUCCAAGUCACGCCGGGGCUGAUGAAGAAGGUGGAGAAGUCUCCUGAAACGGGAGAGGUGCUGACUACGAUCAUCUACCCCCCGCCUAGCAUGCCCAACACAGCUUCAUCGUCGCCGGCGCUGCGUCCGGCGCCGUACGAGGUGCUCUUCGACGAGCGUGAUUGGUAUCCGUGCGUGAUCACCGGCGUUGUGCCGCCAGCCAAAGAUGUUGACCGGGUGCAGUAUAAGGCGUGGAUCUUGGGCCACAACGUGGAGGAGAUUGUGUAUAGUGAGGCGCUGCGGCCCUGGCAGCCAACCGCGUCCACCAGUGACAUCCAAGGUGGGGUGAGCUGCCAUGUAAUCGAUCCACAGACCGGGCGGUAUGUGGAGGGCGUCGUGGAUCGCCUGACGCUCGAAGAGACGGUGCUCGUGAAGGUGCCCGUGGCACCGUCCACUUCGACGGCGGUAUCCGAAUCACCUUCAGCAGCCACCACCACCACCACCGUGACGGUACCGCUGUCCCACGUGCGCGUGGGCAAGUUCUACUCCCAACUGCGUCACCGCCCGAAGACAGAAGAGGAGCGGGCGGUGCGGCGCGCAGAGCGGGCGCGCCUGAAGCGCGAGCGGGCGGCGCAGCAGCGGCAAAUGGCCGCAGACAAAGUCGCCAAGGACGCGGAUGACUGGCAGGCGCUCAUUGGGGACAUGAUGGGCGUGGGCAGUGGUGGCGGUGGUGGUAAGAAACACAAGCGGCGACGCCUUCAGUGAGGAUGGAGUAGGAGGCACGUGAUGUCUGCAAGGUUUGGAAAUUCUAGUCGCGCCGCACUUCGAUUGAAGCGUGUGUGGUGGUGACGGCGGUGGUGGCAAUGGAUGCAUCCGUUCUCCCUGCCCCCUGCCCUCACCCCCACCCCCACCCCGAAAACACACAUACACACAGAUGCAUAUGUCAGAGCAGGCUCUGUUCACUUGCGCUGCUGCGUGCCCGCCGUCUGGCAGCCGGCGGCGAGCACGGGUCGAUAAGGCGGAUUUGCGUGUCAGAAACAGACGCGAAGGAACUUGUCACGCGCACGCCCAGGUGGACAUCUCUGUAAACUUGUGCGUCAGUGCGCGUCUGUACAUAGAGACCGAAGAGCACACACUUGCCUCCACGCGCACACACACAGACACACAUCUCCUUCUGUUCUCGCUCGCCGGCUCACUCUCCCGCUCUCGGUGCACGUUGCCAUCGUCCUCCUGAUCCCUUCUUACACACACACAUAUAUAUAUAUAUACAUCAUCGCGCAG
rnacentral:misc_RNA from 1 species